GUCACGAUUAGAAUAAAGGAAGUUCGCUGGUUCAAAACCAGAUGUGUUGGUUCAAAUCCAAUUCGUGAGC
rnacentral:tRNA from 1 species